GACAGAGGAUGCAAGCGUUAUCCGGAAUGAUUGGGCGUAAAGCGUCUGUAGGUGGCUUUUUAAGUCCGCCGUCAAAUCCCAGGGCUCAACCCUGGACAGGCGGUGGAAACUACCAAGCUGGAGUACGGUAGGGGCAGAGGGAAUUUCCGGUGGAGCGGUGAAAUGCGUAGAUAUUGGGAAGAACACCGGUGGCGAAGGCGGCAACCUGGUCCAUUACUGACGCUGAGGCGCGACAGCGUGGGGAGCAAACAGG
rnacentral:rRNA from 1 species